GGCACGGCACGGGCCAGCCAGGAGCGAGGCCGUCGGGGGUUGGCAAACAAACACUACUAGGACCUACCAGAUAAAAUACGUACUUUUCAGAUUAAAGGGCGCAGCUGUUAUAAAUAAGGGGUGAGAAUGCCACUGCAGUGUUAAAAAUUGUAGGGGCGCACCUAAGCGCACGGACAUCCUUCUGCCCGCCCAGCGGUACCGCCAGGGCGGCCCCUCAGCCCCGCCGCGGGCGCGGGCAGCGGCACGGCUCUCUCUGCUCUCUUACCUUGCAGCAUUUCCUGAUACCAUCAGAGACCACAGGUGGGGCAUUGAAAUAAAGCAAGAAAGAGUUUUCUCCUCAUGAGAUGUCCAGACAGACAUGACUAAAGAGAUGAGCAGCUACCCAUAUCCUAGUGGAGGCAACAUAUGACAUGGAAAGAAAAUCAAGAAUUCUCAAGCUUGGGCUGAAUUGAAAUAUCACAGUUAAGUCAUCUAACUUUUCAUGCUAAAGGUCUAAAAAUAAAACAGGUAUGGUUUGUUUUCAGAGACACAGCAAAACAAAAAUAUACAAAGUCCAGAAGUCAAGAGCCAGAAGCAAGAGAUUCCGUGACUGUGGUAAAUUGCCUGUGAUCAAAUGUCGUGGCUCAUGGCUGUGUUCCAAAUUUAUUGCAGAAGAACCUGGCUUAGGAGAGCCAGUGAUGGAGAAGGCACCUCAUACUGCAGCAUCUAUGUUGCCUGAACAAAAACUCUGAGAAGCAAGAGGCAGCUUUGCUGUGUACCUGGGCUGGAGCUGCUCCUCCCCUCAGCAGAGUGCAGGACAGGAGGAUGCUGCUGCAUGUGUGGGACAAGUGACAAUCUGCAGUGCUGAGAAGAGCACAAGCUGAAAACAAGGGUUCUGUGGUUUUGUCCUGUAUUGCAACCUUCCAGCCAAAGACCAUCUAAGUCAAAGCAGAAGGAACGGAAAGCCUCAUUUUUCUGAGGCAGCAGCUUCUUGCAGUCAUCAUCCUCCAACUGCUUUGAUGUUACAAGAGAUUACAUUGAGGUAUGAUUAGAAGGGAUGCUGGAAUUAUGCCCACCUCUCCUCCCAGGAUUUUUAAGAGAGAUCAGUGAAAAUCCAGCCUGCCCUGAAACCAGGAAAGAGGUGUAGAUCCUUACCUAUGAAAUUUCCAGGAGGAAGCUCUAGCAAGAAACAUCUAUAGAUGAUCCAAAGGAGAUGUCCCCUCCAUUGUGCUGCAUCUGAGCAGAAACUGAACAUCUCAACAGCUGUGGCUCCUACAGCAAGCACUGACUUUGCUGCAAGACUUUUUCUUGUACAAUUCAUCAUCAGUAUUUCUCAGAAUUAAGUUUUCUGAGAAAGACUAUGUCAAUUGGAAUCAUUAUAUAUUUUUUGAAUAUUUUUUAGAGGGGAAAAAAUAUAUUCCUUCACAUUCAAUAUACAUUUGGCUUAUUAUGACUGCCUCUUCUGCAAGAAUGGUAUCUGUAUCACAGAAAAUCUUAAAACACCAGUCAAGUGAUUGUAGUUGCACUAAAUUUCUGCAGGAACUCUGUCUCAUAAUUUUAUUCUGAAUUUUCAUAUGAAAAAAAGUGGUGAUAUUUGUUUUCCUUCAAACUGUUUUUUGACCAGUGCUGGGCAUCCAAAUAAGAGAAAAUUGCAAUAAGUACACUUAUAUUACAUAAGUACUGCUAAUUUCAGUCUUGUCUGCUUCUGUGUUGUUUUUAAAGCUAUAAGUGAAAGAAUGCUUUGAAUCAGGAAUUCAGCAAAUAUCCAUCUUGAAGCUGGGUGGUCCUGAACUAACCCCUUAAAACUUUCUGCACAGUUUCAUCAGGAAAGGUAGCAGGUGCCCAGGCAGAAAUCUCUGCUGGAUGUUGGUGUGAGUGUCUUCAAGAACAGUUGUGAAUUAAAUUCAGAAUAUGCUUCAGCCACCAUGCUAUAUUCACAAAAGAAAGGAUGAGCCUAACUUGUAUUUUAAGGAAAAAUUACAUGAGCAACUAACUCCAGGAGGGAAUUUAGUGCUGCAGUUCCUGUGUAAGAGGAUGCAUCCCUGUAGACUGGAGGAAACAGUCUGAGGAAUGGGAUUUGAGAUUUCCCCUCACUUCAGAUUAGAUAUUGGCUGAGAUUCCUUUUUAGCAAUAGAGCUUUAUAAAUCUUUCUCUUCAAACCCACUGUGAAGUUCCAUAGUAAUAAAAGAUGGGUUCUGUAUUCUAGGGGUAAAGUUCUUUAAAAACUAAAUUUUAUGGUGUCAAACUUUAUUGAGUAUAGCCUCUAAUUACUUUUCUUUUUUAUUACCAAAUUAAAAAAACAAGUACAAAUUAUCAAGAUAUUUUCAGCACAGAAAUAAAGCUGUAUGUAUUAUUAUUUAAAUCAGCUAGAGCAGACUAAGACAUACUUACUUUCUAAGGCCAGUCUUGGUUUCUUUAAAUAAAAGGAAGACACAAGAUGAGCAAAAUAUUUGUAACAAAAAUGUUUAAAUAACAGUUUUGUAAAAGUUAUUUAAUCCCACAGGUGUACAUUUUUUAAUUAAAAACUUCUAAAAUAAGAUAGAAGUCCAACAAUUUAAAAGAUUUGACAGUGAAAAUUCUGUGGCUGCUCCACCCUGUCCUAAAUGUUAAAAUGAACAGUAGCAGGAAGGCAUGUGUGUUCUUAGAACAAUUUCUUCUUGUUUACAAUUGCAGUAGGCUAAAAUGAGUCAUCGUUCUGUACAAAUAGAGAACUGUGUGCUCACAAAAAAUGUUUUGGUAUUAUCAGAAAAGUUUCAGUAAAUUAGAAUGUCAGAAUGAUAUAUGCAAUUUCUUUGAAUAUAAAUUUGUAAAUCAUGGUGCCAACAAGAAUGAAAAGAUAUACAAUUUCUUGGGAUUCUUUUUCAUACUGAUAACCUAGAGAACAAUAUCUAUUUUUAUUUGCAACUGAUCAAAGGGCAGGAAUUAUAAAACUUAAAUUAGGAUCAUUGCAAUAUUUGUCCCUCGGGAAUUUCUAUAAUAGAACACAUUCUAGGGUUAUAAAAUUAUAUGCAGCAUUUUAGAAAAUGUUAAAAAUGCUUAUCACUAUUAAUUUUCCCUUAUAUACAUAAUAAAUAUGGAGUUUUUAUGAAAGGUUCCUAUAUUAAAACAUAAGCUGUAAAGAUAUAAUUUUUAAAAUUACCUGUACUAACCAUAAGCUGACAGUUUUAGUCAUAAUUCAAAGGCAGUAGAAUAAGACAAGCACUUUGUGCUUGAAAAUAACUCAGAAAUUAAUUUUUAAGUGUAAUUCUGCUCAAGUUACAUUUUGACAUAAUGUCUAUAUAAAUACUUUUAUAGAUUUAUAUAUAAGAUUUAUGUAUAAAUCUUUUCUCAGUUUAAAAAAAAUUGCUUUUCUCUUGCCUUUAAAAAACUACCAUAUAUUUCAGUAAGUUAUCAAAUCAGUUGGAGAAUAAUGCAAACAAUACAUAAACACAAACUUUUAUAAAGAUCCAUGAAGGAUUUAAUCUAUUCUUCAGCCUCAGUGUUGAAACAUAAGCUGACUUCAGUUGAAAAAAAUGAGGUCAAGGGGUUUUAGACAAAGAAUGAACCAUGCUACUUGUCUAAAAAUUCAGUGAAGUAGACAAAGAGGCUAAAAUCUUUGUUUCAGGAAUGAAAAAUCAAACAGAAAGGAGACAUAUUCCUUCCUGUAAGUAUUCUCCAUGAACAAACUACUAGAAAAGUAAAUCCCAUGUACUUUAGCAAAUAUUCCAGGAAAGAGUAUUUGAGUUUUGUGGUAGAGGAGAACACCAGCAUAGAAGAGGGCUUUUGACUUUCUUUGAAGGUCAAAAGGGACAGAGAAACAAGGACUUUUAAAGAACAAUAUCCUUUCACAUCAAAAUCAAAUAUCAAAACACACUGGAAAGUACAGAGACAAAAGCAUUCACAGCAAGUUUGCCAGUCAAUUCUCUAUUGACCCAAAACUUUCCAUAAAAAUGAAGGAUUUCCAGUCUUUCCUGUCUUUUCCUGUCUUCUGUCUCCUUCUCUAUUGUUCCUUUUGUGCUGACUUAUUCUAACUUGUAUUUGAAAUUAACAGCUCUUUCAAGGUGGUUUAUUGGGAUGGUUGGCCAAGUGAUUGCAUUGUAUCCACACCAUUCUCCUCAUAAAUUGAUGUUUCUUCAAAGUAGAAUGCAUAUCUAUGAUACAAUAAGGUCCACAUCUCAUUUUAAAAUUUUGUUUUAAAUUCUGUAUAUUUUCUCAUAUUUAGUCUGCAAAAUCCCAAGGAAUUUUUCUGUGUGGAACAGAAAUCAAAGCAGUGAUAAAGUCUUUUUUACGACAUUUGCUUCAGAAAGUCAUAAACACUUGUUAAACUUGGCUGGUUUUGCACAUUAACUCACAUGGGAUUUCAUUUGGAUUCCAUGUAGCCAAAACAGAUGUGUUUUAAUAGCAGUGAAAGUUGAUUAUAAUUUGUUUUCUUGAACAAGCAGCUUUCAUUGAUGUUUUGUAGUUCAAAUAAAAUCUAGUGACUUGCCUCAGAAAGUCUGAACACCUCUUUUGAGGCUAAAAUUGUAGAAAGCGCUCUGAAACAAUCUUUGAUGUGAUUUUUCAAGCAGUGACAGGUCAAAGUGACUGAAGGGGACUUUCUAUGGAGAAGUUAAUGAGUCUUUUCCCUUUCUGCUCUCAUUUACAGUCUGCCUGAAAUUCUAGGAAUCUUACCUGUCCAUCUACUGCUUUUUCUGUAAGACAGCCCCUAUUGCUACAAUCAGCAUGGGUUUUAUAAAUCCCUUUCAUAAUGAGAUGUGUUGUGAAGUAGCAGAAAUUUUUAUUGUGAACUUAAUGAACUUCACUGCCAAAUCCAUGGGGAAAAGACAGGAAACACAGGGAAAGAGCCAAAACUUCUGACCCCAUUCAAUUUCUUAAAAUUUCAUAUUCUACACAAGUUUUAUGGGAAUAUUAGUAUUUCUACUCAUUAAAUGAAUCUUAGUGAAAAUAUGAGGCUCUGAUAACUGUUCAUUCAUUCUUUCCACUAAAAUUUUCAUUUCCCUAAUUUGUACCUGCAUGUGGGUUCAGAUACAGUGAGAAAUGCUAGUGUAAGUAAAAAAUGGAGAUUAGAUUAAUAAAGAUGGAAUUUAAAAAAUAAAAAUAAAAUAAAAUAACAUUAUUAUAUUCA